rfam:Aspergillus ruber CBS 135680 unplaced genomic scaffold scaffold00004, whole genome shotgun sequence.
GGGUCGGUAGCUCAGUGGUAGAGCAUCAGAUUGCAAUGUGCCAAUAAGUAGCCAAUUAUCUGGUGGUCGCGAGUUCGAUCCUCGCCCGGCCCU